rnacentral:rRNA from 1 species
UAGUCCACGCAGUAAACGAUGAAUGUUAGUCGUUGGUGUCCUAGAGACAUCAGUGAUGCAGUUAACACAUUAAACAUUCCGCCUGGGGAGUACGGUCGCAAGAUUAAAACUCAAAGGAAUAGACGGGGACCCGCACAAGUGGUGGAGCAUGUGGUUUAAUUCGAAGAUACGCGAAGAACCUUACCUAGGCUACAAUGCCUCUGCUACUGGGUGAAAGCUCAGGUUCCUUCGGGACAGAGUGCAAGGUGCUGCAUGGUUGUCGUCAGCUCGUGCCGUGAGGUGUUGGGUUAAGUCCCGCAACGAGCGCAACCCCUAUCGUUAGUUGCCAGCAAGUCAUGUUGGGGACUCUAACGAGACUGCCUUCGCAAGAAGUGAGGAAGGCGGGGAUGACGUCAAAUCAUCAUGGCCUUUAUGCCUAGGGCGACACACGUGCUACAAUGGUCGGUACAGAGGGUUGCUACACCGUGAGGUGAUGCUAAUCUCUUAAAACCGGU